GUCUCGUGGCCCGCCAGGAUUCGGAAGUCCGUGCGCCUUGCACGUGGCGGGAGGCUGUGCGUGUCACGCGUCGGCACGCGCGCGCGUCGCUGCCGCCGCUGCUGCUGUCGUCUGCGUGGAUGAGCGGGGGCCGAGCGGCACGAAUGGAAAAAGCCGCAUCCAGGCUUCGGCCCACCAUUUUGAGUGUUCCAGAAUUAAACUGGACUUGGAGAGCAGUCUAGUGCAUAAUAUAAUCAAGAUCAGAAAUAUUUUUAAAGCAGCAGCACAAUCUUAAGAAAUAAAACACAUUAACGUUCUGUUUCUUUGCUGCUGAGGUGAGCGUGGUAGGAGGAGGAAAUGGCAGCAGGGAUUAGAAGGGAAUUAAUGGGGGCAGAAGCAGUGGAGACCAGAAGAGGAAGAAGAUGAUGCAUAAGAGAAGUGAGAAUACUGAAAAAGGCAGGAAUGUGCCUACAACACUCCCCCACCCCGCCACAUGUGCUCAUUUCUUCAAAAAGGUUGCCUACCUCUAGACUGUUGGAGAAUUAGCAGCAUCCACCUGAGUGGCCAUUUCAGUGAGAAAUCCAGGCCUGAAGCCAGAUUGAAAUGGAUUGAGAUAAUCUGCAUUAUCCAAGAUUACCUGCAACUUCAUUCAAGCAUCAUGCUCGUGAAGGGGGUAUUUGCAACCAUAUUAUGCAUGAAAGACAGACCUAUGACAUUUCCCAGCUGUGUGGAUACAUAUCAUCAGUGCUAAUCAAAAUAGUUUGUAGUUAUACAGGAGGGAAAAGAUAGUGUGGGGUGCAAAUUUGCACCAUAAUUUUUUGCGGGGGGGGGGGGGGGGGGGAAUCUCCCUUGAAGGCAAAUGACUUCUUUAGCUGUGGCUUCAGUUUAUUGAAAUGAACAAGUCUUAUAAUGGCUCCGUUUAAGCAGACUUUGAAGUUUCAAAUAAAGCAAGCCUGAAUAACUUGAAAAAUGUCAGUUUAGAAUGUAAACUUCCCUCACCGAUAUAAGGGCCAAAUAUAAGACAACCCUUGAAACUGGAAAUAGCGAGCCAAAAAUCAGGAAUUGUCUUAUAUCCUAGGUGAAUUUUUUUCUUCAUAUUAAUUUUAUUGUUAAUAAAAAGGGAUGGAUAAUAAAGUAAAUUGUAUUUACAAGCUCAAUUUUAUCAACAACCAUUAAAAAAAACUUAUGGGGGAG